AAUCGGCAGUGAUGAUCAGUAUACAGCUUAAUGCCAGUUCUGCUUCAGAAAAUUCUUGAUUGAUAAAGCUGAUAUAUAUAUUUCUGAGCCAUGU
rnacentral:snoRNA from 1 species